CAGAGGUCUCAAGCGUUGUUCGGAUUCAUUGGGCGUAAAGGGUGCGUAGGCGGCGCGGUAAGUCGGGUGUGAAAUUUCGAGGCUUAACUUCGAAACUGCAUUCGAUACUGCCGUGCUUGAGGACUGGAGAGGAGACUGGAAUUUACGGUGUAGCGGUGAAAUGCGUAGAUAUCGUAAGGAAGACCAGUGGCGAAGGCGGGUCUCUGGACAGUUCCUGACGCUGAGGCACGAAGGCCAGGGGAGCAAACGGGAUUAGAUACCCCGGUAGUCCUGGCAAUAAACGGUGCACGUUUGGUGUGGGAGGAUUCGACCCCUUCUGCGCCGGAGCUAACGCGUUAAACGUGCCGCCUGGGGAGUACGGUCGCAAGAUUA
rnacentral:rRNA from 1 species